UGAGGCGCAGAGGCACUUUAUGGACUGCAGGGGGAGCUCUGACUGCCAGCACACUGCCAUGAAAGCAAGCAGAGGAAGUGAGCAGGGCUGGAGAGAGGACUAUGAUUUAUAAUACCAUAACUAAAAGUGUACAGCAUUUCUGUCCAUGUGGCCUCACACACAAAGUCAACAGUGAAAGGAAUGCUAUCCAUCUGACAAGAAAGCAGCGGACAGUACAGCAGACAAAGAUGUUUCACCUGGACAUGAAGGACCACUUGGUGUCACAGCUUUGGAUAAGCCAUCUGUAGCAGAGUCCCAGUCCACUGGCUUACACCACAAGUUGGAAAUUACAGCUACAGCUGAUUCAGUAACCUCUGGAUCCACUCAGUACAUUUUCUCUCACUUAGACAUAAUUUACUCUUCAUUGAAAGGCUUGUAUUUUAUCUUGCAAAGUUUCUAUGUGAUCUAUAAUUACCGUGUUUUAUUUUGCUCAUUAUAUUAUGCAUUAAAUAGCACAGAGGUGCAGUCUGACGGGA